rnacentral:tRNA from 1 species
GGCUCGGUAUCUUACUUGGCAAAGCAUUUGUCUGGCAUAUAAUGGUCGUAAGUUCAAAUCUAACCUGCGCUG